GGACCCGCACAAGUAGUGGAGCAUGUGGUUUAAUUCGAAGAUACGCGCAGAACCUUACCAACACUUGACAUGUUCGUCGCGACUUUAAGAGAUUAAAGUUUUCGGUUCGGCCGGACGAAACACAGGUGCUGCAUGGCUGUCGUCAGCUCGUGUCGUGAGAUGUUGGGUUAAGUCCCGCAACGAGCGCAACCCUCACUUUUAGUUGCCAUCAUUAAGUUGGGCACUCUGAAAGAACUGCCAGUGAUAAGCUGGAGGAAGGUGGGGAUGACGUCAAGUCCUCAUGGCCCUUACGUGUUGGGCUACACACGUGCUACAAUGGUAUCUACAACAGGAAGCAAAACUGCGAAGUUAAGCAAAUCCUUAAAAGAUACCUCAGUUCGGAUUGCACUCUGCAACUCGAGUGCAUGAAGCUGGAAUCGCUAGUAAUCG
rnacentral:rRNA from 1 species